UACGGAAGGUCCGGGCGUUAUCCGGAUUUAUUGGGUUUAAAGGGAGCGUAGGCCGGAGAUUAAGCGUGUUGUGAAAUGUAGAUGCUCAACAUCUGAACUGCAGCGCGAACUGGUUUCCUUGAGUACGCACAAAGUGGGCGGAAUUCGUAGUGUAGCGGUGAAAUGCUUAGAUAUCACGAAGAACUCCGAUUGCGAAGGCAGCUCACUGGAGCGCAACUGACGCUGAAGCUCGAAAGUGCGGGUAUCGAACAGG
rnacentral:rRNA from 1 species